rnacentral:sRNA from 1 species
ACCCACCUCCACAGCCCUACUUCCAGGGCGGACAACAGAUGCAGUCGUCUAACAAUAUAGUCGUCGUCGGUGGUGGAGGCGCACCAGUAACUAACACAGUCAUAGUAGAAAG